rnacentral:rRNA from 1 species
GAUGAACGCUGGCGGCGUGCCUAAUACAUGCAAGUCGAGCGAACAGACGAGGAGCUUGCUCCUCUGACGUUAGCGGCGGACGGGUGAGUAACACGUGGAUAACCUACCUAUAAGACUGGGAUAACUUCGGGAAACCGGAGCUAAUACCGGAUAAUAUAUUGAACCGCAUGGUUCAAUAGUGAAAGACGGUUUUGCUGUCACUUAUAGAUGGAUCCGCGCCGCAGUAGCUAGUUGGUAAGGUAACGGCUUACCAAGGCGACGAUGCGUAGCCGACCUGAGAGGGUGAUCGGCCACACUGGAACUGAGACACGGUCCAGACUCCUACGGGAGGCAGCAGUAGGGAAUCUUCCGCAAUGGGCGAAAGCCUGACGGAGCAACGCCGCGUGAGUGAUGAAGGUCUUCGGAUCGUAAAACUCUGUUAUUAGGGAAGAACAAAUGUGUAAGUAACUAUGCACGUCUUGACGGUACCUAACCAGAAAGCCACGGCUAACUACGUG